CAUCUGUCGCAAACGUCACAAACAUGUCAACAAACGUUUGUCAGACUGACAGUUUUUAUGUCAGUUACCGGUUUAUAGUCCAUUUUGACUGUUGAUGCCCUCAAAGUGCUUUUAAGUAACAGUUCGCGAGUUAAUUCAUGUGAAAAGGCUCCAAUUCCUUACUAAAUGACUUGUGCGGAUGUGGAGAUUCAUUGACCCAACUAUCUGAAAAAUUUGUAGUUUGUCCCGGUGAACGCUCAGUUAUUUCGAGCCCUGAACCUGGCAAGCUGGAACGAAGCAACACGCAAGCCGCCUUGCGACUCGCAUACACCUCUAUGGGUGCGAGAGAGACAGCCGAAGCAAACUACGUUCCUGAAUGGAGCUGAUUUCAAUCAUUCGACUCGCGGUUGUGUGAGCACCCGAAACAAGCCCACGUCUGAAGAUGCUUAUCAUGCGAGUUAGCGAAACGUCACAUUUCUUUAUUAUAUUAUAUGUUAUAUCCAUAUUCAAUCAACCCAAUUCGAGCACAGUGGCAACAAAGUCUUAACAUUCGACAUCAAGUGUCGCGACAAUAAAAAUAGACGAAAUAAUUGCACCAGAUUCCGAUAGUGCAGUUGCGGUGCCGCUAAUGGCCGCAAUAGACAAGCAUUUCUCACGCUUUUAACGAAUACCCAGCUCGACAAAAGGUGUUCUAAUUGCACUAAUCUGGUUUCGGGGGGGACCAGCGCCCCUCUCCUAACGGCUCUUUUUAUUGUCGAACCCAUUAUCCUUGCUAAUUACACCGUGAGACAUGGCGCCAAGGCUUUCCAAACGAACAAACAAACUAACAUCCGAUUUGCGUAGUUGUUUACCGGCGAAAAAACGGGACUGAUGUAACGAACCGCCGUUUAUUUAACGUACUUUGGGCCGGAAAUCUACAGGGUUUAGGUUUGGCCAUUGUGUUGCCUUUUGAAGGGUAAAUUGGAAAUUACAUUGUGAACACUAAACUGUUAUUAGAUCGUCCAUACUGCA